UGCAUCUGCCGGAAUUGAACUCGGGCCGCUCGCGUGGCAGGCGAGCAUUCUACCACUGAACUACC
rnacentral:tRNA from 1 species